rnacentral:rRNA from 1 species
GAUGAACGCUGGCGGCGUGCUUAACACAUGCGAGUCGAACGGAAAGGCCCGGCUUUUGUGGGGUGCUCGAGUGGCGAACGGGUGAGUAACACGUGAGUAACCUGCCCUUGACUUUGGGAUAACUGCAGGAAACGGGGGCUAAUACCGGAUAGGAGCUCCUGCGGCAUGGUGGGGGGUGGAAAGUUUCGGCGGUUGGGGAUGGACUCGCGGCUUAUCAGCUUGUUGGUGGGGUAGUGGCUUACCAAGGCUUCGACGGGUAGCCGGCCUGAGAGGGUGACCGGCCACAUUGGGACUGAGACACGGCCCAGACUCCUACGGGAGGCAGCAGUGGGGAAUAUUGCACAAUGGGCGGAAGCCUGAUGCAGCAACGCCGCGUGCGGGAUGACGGCCUUCGGGUUGUAAACCGCUUUCGCCUGUGACGAAGCGUGAGUGACGGUACUGGCUAAAAAAGCCCCGGCUAACUACGUG